CAUGGAGGGUGAGAAUCCCGUCCGGCUGACCUUCAGGACGUUUUACGAUACGCUCUCAAAGAGUCGAGUUGUUUGGGAUUGCAGCUCAAAAUGGGAGGUAAAUUUCUCCUAAGGCUAAAUACCGGCGAGAGACCGAUAGCGAACAAGUACCGUGAGGGAAAGAUGAAAAGAAUUUUGAAAAGAAAGUCAAACAGUACGUGAAAUUGUUGAAAGGGAAACGAUUGAAGCCAGUCGUACCGACGGGAAUUCAACUUCUCGAGUGCUAAUCGUGGGUGACGUUGAGCCUCACGGCCUUCGUUGCUUGUGUUGUUGGUGCUUUUGGGGUGUACUUUUCCGUAUUGGUAGGUCAGCAUCGAUUUCGAUCGUCAUAAAAUGAUCGGGGGAAUGUAGCUUCGGUCUCGUAUCGGAGUGUUAUAGACCUUGGUAGAUGUGACGAUUGGGAUCGAGGAUUGCAACGAAUACCCUUUGGGCUAUCCGUCUGUCCUCUGAAAGUCGCUCGGGUGUCGAAAGCGUGCUUAUGGCUAUUCGAGUUGGCGGUCAACAGGUUAGAACGCGAUUAUAUUCGUUAAGGAUGUUGACGUA
rnacentral:rRNA from 1 species